UACGUAGGGUGCAAGCGUUGUUCGGAAUUACUGGGCGUAAAGGGCGCGUAGGCGGGCCCGUAUGUCGAUUGAGAAAGCCCUGGGCUCAACCCGGGAAUGGCAGUCGAAACUGCGGGUCUUGAGUGCCUGAGAGGAUGGCGGAAUUCCCGGUGUAGAAGUGAAAUUCGUAGAUAUCGGGAAGAACACCUGAGGCGAAGGCGGCUAUCUGGCGGUGCACUGACGCUAAGGCGCGAAAGCGUGGGGAGCAAACAGG
rnacentral:rRNA from 1 species